UACGUAGGGGGCAAGCGUUGUCCGGAUUUAUUGGGCGUAAAGAGCGUGUAGGCGGCUUGACAGGUCUGCUGUGAAAACUCGAGGCUCAACCUCGAGAUGUCGGCGGAAACCGUCUGGCUAGAGUCCGGAAGAGAAGAGUGGAAUUCCUGGUGUAGCGGUGAAAUGCGCAGAUAUCAGGAAGAACACCUAUGGCGAAGGCGGCUCUCUGGGACGGUACUGACGCUGAGACGCGAAAGCGUGGGGAGCGAACAGG
rnacentral:rRNA from 1 species